rnacentral:lncRNA from 1 species
UUUCGUCCCUCGUCUGACGCCCUCGCCUCAUCGCCGUUGUUCCUCGCCGGUCGCUGGCCGGAGCCCAGACCGCCUCCCCUUCCCGCCCGACGCUCGCCUGGCCCUCGGCUCCACCACUCCCCCGUGCCCAUGCUCUGCCCGGCUGCUCCCUUGACCCGGGCCGCCUGGCCUUGCCGCCCGCUCGCCCCUGCCUCCGCCCUCCGGUGGAGUCCGGCCCUCCGCCCUCCAUCAAAGCCUACGGCCGUCGGUGUCGCUCAGUAGCCAAUCUCUAGUCGUUCAGCAGCAGCACCGCAUCAAGUGUGCAAAAUCGAUUUAAGGUACCGAAAACUCCUAAUUUUUGAUUUAGGGUUUGUUUUUUCGCACUAUGCUAUCAUGAAUUGAUGAACACAUACAUAAUUUUGCACAUCAUUUCUUCCUUAAUUAGCUUUAUUGAUAGAAACUAAUUUUUAUUGCAGGUUGAAGAAUGAAGAGGGCCGGAGACAUUGUUUCUCUUUUCUAGAGUAUAGUCAAGAGCAAGUUGAGAAAUAAGAUGGGUGAUAGUCUUUUGGAUGAUUGCCUAGUCACAUUCAUUGAGAGUGAUGCUUUUGCCGAGGUGAAUGAAGAUGAUAUAAUUGAUACUUUCAUGGCAAUGCAAAAGCGUAGGCUAGAAAUAUAGUCCUUUCGAGCUUCUCAGGGUAUGUAUUAUGGUCCAUAUAGUAUGUACUAUGUAUGCUUCUUUAUGUAAAACUUAGACUUAAUUGAGAAUUUUAGUGUGUUUGUAAGACCAUAUUGAUCUAUUUCUAUGUGAUACUGGUAACUAGUUAGAACGUCCACA